GCUGGGUGUGGUGGUGCGUGCCUGUAGUCCCAGCUAAUCGGGAGGCUGAGGUGGGAGGAUCGACUGAGCCCAGGAGUUCCGACUGCAGUGUGCUAUGCUGAUCGGGUGUCCGCACUAAGUUCAGCAUCAAUAUGGUGACCUCCAGGGAGCGGGGGACCAGCAGGUUGCCUAAGGAGGGGUGAACCUGCCCAGGAAAAAAACAGAGCAGGUCAAAACUCCUGUGCUGAUCAGUAGUGGGAUCGUGCCUGUGAAUAGCCACUGCACUCCAGCUUGGACAACAUAGUGAGACCCCAACUCUU
ensembl:misc_RNA Metazoa_SRP Metazoan signal recognition particle RNA